ensembl:lncRNA
CUGAACUCUGAUUCUCUGUUCAGCGUAACAGAGCAGUACCCGUAACCGCAUAUGUAACUCCUGUUUCACUGAAGAAUCCCAGACUCUUUUUCAUCGUUAACCUGCUAGUCAGAAAAAAGCUGCAGCCUAAAACAGAAGUAAAUGAGAGCUCCUAUGAAGGGCCUCUUUACAUGUGGAUUGCUCCAUAUCACAGGUGCCGGCAAAUAAAGACACACCAGAUGACGCUGACAGCAGAAAGAGUAAUAACACGGAAUUGGAAGAAUUGAUUUACAAGAUGCUGCAUUAGUAAACUGUAAAAGAGGUCAUGGUUUCACAGCAUCCAAAGGUGAUAUAACAUUUCUGGCCCCACAAGCACCAGAGCUAGUGCAAGGAAGGCAGCAGGGACACACCGCUGGGACCGGGGAAGAAGGCAAGACUACAGCAGCCAGCAGCUACAUGGGCUUAGAUUAUGAAGGAGCCACUGGCUCAAUCCACUUGUGGUCCACUGUAGCUCACGCCACCUUUGCCUAGAGCUUAGCUAGCAGAGCACUACCUGAGUCGGGAGAGGUAAGGUCAAGUGCUCCAGUGUCCACCUGGCAGCAGCAGCAGAAAUAAUUUAUUUAAAUAUUUUUUUCCUUUUCUGUUUGCAUAUUGCUCAUACAGGGGCUGAAGAACAUUCAGACAGGUAAAUUAUGCACCUCUUUCCUCAGAGAAUAAUUCUUGUGCUGCAGACCAUUCAUUGCAAUUAAUAAUUCAUGUGGAAGGGGUGAGCCUGACGUGUCGUAGGUUAUUUUGCCUGUUCUCUGAUUGGAUGCUAUAUGCAUAACUCAUCAGCGCAGCAUGAACUGCAGAUCUGUCAAUUUUACAAUCAAAUAUACAAUAUAAAAUUCAUUGUAAGUGAAUAUUCAAGCAGUCAAGCUUAACAAUUUCUUUUUAUGGGUAUUUAUGCCGUUAGAUCUCAGGCAUUUCAACAUUUCAUAGCUACUGAACACAAAAGGGUUGUGAAUACAGUCAAAUUGAACUUUACUUUUGAACUGUAAGGAAUGUUUACAGAAAACGUGCUGUGGUUACUACACCAUGAUAUUACAUUGUUAGUGAAGGAAAUAACCUGGCCAUCGGGAAAAUGUCAAAAUAUUGAUUAUUUACAGUCAACCACUGUAUUCUUCUGAAGGAACAUGAAGAGGGGAAGAGUGUGGGAUGGAGAUGGAAAUGUAUACCUGCU